AUUCGAAGUUUAGGAUUGGAUUAUUAAAUUUAUGUUUCCAUCAAAUUCCUUUUAUUAGAUUCGAUGUUUAGGUUUCAGGUAUUGGAUGAUUAGAUUUGAUGUUUAUUUUUCCAUCAAAACCUGUUACUAUGGUUUUUCGUAAUAGCCAUAAGUCUAAUCAUCCAUGGCCAUCCAUAAUUAUCCCUAAAAAACAUUUACUCAAUCACAGACUGGGUUCUCUGAGACAAAAAUAAGACACCAAAAAUAAGCAUCAUUGGUAUCCUUGAUAACUGCCUUGCGUAUUUAUUGAUUUUCCAGCUAAGAAACUUUCGGUUUGAUGUCAUUGGACGGCUAAGAAACUUUUGGUUUGAUGUUUUAGCGUUCCUGGGUAGGGGCUUUUCCUUAUCCUUAUCGAGCAGCAACAGCAAUUUAGCGAACCAUAACAUCAUCUUCACAUCUUCAUCUUCUCUUUCUGUUGAUUUUGGUUGAACUUGAAGAGAUUUGCUGGUUUGCCAUGACAAAAAAAGGGUUUUGGGAGAGGAAAUAUGUGUACCUGAAACCCAAAUUGAGGUUCUGCUUUCAGUUUGUGUCUUAAUUCAGUUUUGGAUUCAGUUUGUGAUAACAAGAGGGACAAUACUUCGUCAUUUGUGUUGGUUAGUACUGUAUUAGUUUUGGUAUUUGGUUCUUUCGGUUCAAUCUGUCCAACGGUUAGGAUUCUUUUCUGUUCCUUUUUUCCUCUCCUUAUUCUCUGUUCAAUUCAUAACCAAGUUGGUGCUGAUGGGUUUUUUCUCAGUACCUAGCAGAUUUUUCAGAGAGGGACAGAAAACUGGCUAGGGUUCACUUUGCAACUUUUGGUUUGGUGAGCAGUAUGAAUUUGGAUUCCAACGGUCUCUUUUACAGCUUCAAUUAGGUCAUGCAUUUUUUUUCCAAUAACAAGUUUCAGUAGUUUGCUCUUGAAGGCGACUUCUCUCAAUUUUUUUGUCAAGGUGUUUCGGUGAUAUGGCUGAAAUUCUGAUCAUUUGGUUUCUUUCUCUGCCCGAAGUGAAAUGUAGAGAAUUAUUGGAAGUAGAAGCAAAACCAACCACCAGCUAGGUAUUCUCAUUGGAUUUGGAGCUACCAAAACAUGGGGAAUUAAAGACCCAUUCCCAUGUAUCCCGCUUCAAUGGAGCUUGAUGGAGCCUAAAAAAGAGUUUGUGGCGUCGGAAGAUUUCGGCCGUACAAGCAUUCAUAACACAUCAUCACCGCGGUCAGAAAGUCCAGACACUGAACAACCUAAAGCUGAGGAUUGACCGACAACGUAACCACAAUCUCCAAUAUUAGUCCUAACAUGGUCGUUGCCGAGCACAUAUUUCAUCCAUCCGUCCCAAAAAUACGACAAAGUUCGGUAAAUUUUGGAAUCCAUUGGAGAGACACUGCAGACGAAGACGCGGAUCCGGACGGGCAACAGAAAACAGAAGAAA